CUUCUGCUUUUUCCCUGCCUCCUCUCCUUCCCCUCCUUCCUAGGCGCCGCCCCUCUCCUCCCCUUCCUCCCAUGGCGCCACCCUGCUCCUCCCCUUCCUCCUCAAAAUCUCUGCUGCUGCCGCGGAUGGCAGCGACAAAGACGACGAAGUGGCUGCUGUGGAGGUCGACUUGUGCGGCGCGGUGUCUGUCGAGGCAGGGGCGGUGAUUGCAAGGGAAGACGGCGCCGGCGAGGUCUGGGGCCGGCGCUCGGGCGGCUGCGACGAGCUGCCGGAGCAGGGUGGCGGCGGAGUCCAGGAGUGUGGUGCUCUACGGGCUUCUUGUGGGUGCGGGUGUGGCGCCGCGACUGAAACGAGGUGGCUGUGAUCUCGUGCUGCUGCGUCUUCUGUUGCUACGAGCUAGUACAUCUGUGGGACUUUGAGCGACGGUUACAUGGUGUGUAGCUGCUGAAAAAUGUGAAUGCUUGCUUGGGAAAUUGGGGAUCAA